GGAUGGUUGCCCGAGUUGGUCUAAGGGGGCGGACUUAAGACCCGCUGUCAUUGACGCGUGGGUUCGAAUCCCACACCAUGCA
rnacentral:tRNA from 1 species